rnacentral:rRNA from 1 species
AGUGAACGCUGGCGGUAGGCCUAACACAUGCGAGUCGAACGGCAGCACAGUAAGAGCUUGCUCUUACGGGUGGCGAGUGGCGGACGGGUGAGGAAUACAUCGGAAUCUACUUUUUCGUGGGGGAUAACGUAGGGAAACUUACGCUAAUACCGCAUGCGACCUACGGGUGAAAGCAGGGGAUCUUCGGACCUUGCGCGAUUGAAUGAGCCGAUGUCGGAUUAGCUAGUUGGCGGGGUAAAGGCCCACCAAGGCGACGAUCCGUAGCUGGUCUGAGAGGAUGAUCAGCCACACUGGAACUGAGACACGGUCCAGACUCCUACGGGAGGCAGCAGUGGGGAAUAUUGGACAAUGGGCGCAAGCCUGAUCCAGCCAUACCGCGUGGGUGAAGAAGGCCUUCGGGUUGUAAAGCCCUUUUGUUGGGAAAGAAAAGCAGCAGGUUAAUACCCCGCUGUUCUGACGGUACCCAAAGAAUAAGCACCGGCUAACUUCGUG